UACGUAGGGGGCUAGCGUUGUCCGGAAUCAUUGGGCGUAAAGAGCGUGUAGGCUGCUCGGUAAGUCCGCUGUAAAAGUCAAAGGCUCAACCUUUGAAUGUCAGUGGAUACUGCCGGGCUAGAGUCCGGAAGAGGCGAGUGGAACUCCUGGUGUAGCGGUGGAAUGCGCAGAUAUCAGGAGGAACACCGGUGGCGAAGGCGCUCAUCUGGCCCAAUACUGACGCUGAUGCGCGAAAGCGUGGGGAGCGAACAGG
rnacentral:rRNA from 1 species